GCUCUGGUAGCUCAGUUGGUUAGAGCGUGCGACUGUUAAUCGCGAGGUCACAGGUUCGAUCCCUGUCUGGAGCG
rnacentral:tRNA from 1 species